CCUGUGCAUCGCUCCGUCGCCGCGCAUUGCAGAUGCGAGGAGGAAAGUCCGGGCAGCGAAGGGCACCGUGCUUCCUAACGGGAAGGGGUGCUACUGGGAACGGUAGUGCUACGGAAAGUGCCGCAGAAAGGGAAACCGCCCAUGCCGACUUUGUCGGCAGGCAAGGAUGAAAAGGUGAGGUAAGAGCUCACCAGUGCCCUGUGCGAGCAGGGCAGCUUGGUAAACCCCACGGGCUGAAAGACCAAAUAGGCCGGGAAGUGCUGCCGCAAGGCAGGGCAGCGGGCGGCUCGUUCGCUCCCGGCGGGUAGGUCGAUAGAGGUCCGUCGCAAGGCGGAUCCUGGAUAGAUGACGGAGACCUUUCAUUUCGGUGGGAGGGACAGAACCCGGCUUACAGAUGCACAGGCCAU
rnacentral:RNase_P_RNA from 1 species